ACCGGCCUCUUGUGAUGAUUUACAUAUCAUAGCAUAGUUCAUCUGACUUCAUGAUGACUACAUUGUACUCGUUAUUAGUCUUUCGCUCCCAUCUGACUGGCCACA
rfam:Diaporthe helianthi strain 7/96 Scaffold_11596.1, whole genome shotgun sequence.